CCUACGGGAGGCAGCAGUGAGGAAUAUUGGUCAAUGGACGAGAGUCUGAACCAGCCAAGUAGCGUGAAGGAUGACUGCCCUAUGGGUUGUAAACUUCUUUUAUAUGGGAAUAAAAUGUUCCACGUGUGGGAUUUUGUAUGUACCAUAUGAAUAAGGAUCGGCUAACUCCGUGCCAGCAGCCGCGGUAAUACGGAGGAGACGAGCGUUAUCCGGAUUUAUUGGGUUUAAAGGGAGCGUAGGUGGAUUGUUAAGUCAGUUGUGAAAGUUUGCGGCUCAACCGUAAAAUUGCAGUUGAAACUGGCAGUCUUGAGUACAGUAGAGGUGGGCGGAAUUCGUGGUGUAGCGGUGAAAUGCUUAGAUAUCACGAAGAACUCCGAUUGCGAAGGCAGUUCACUGGACUGCAACUGACACUGAGGCUCGAAAGUGUGGGUAUCAAACAGGAUUAGAUACCCCGGUAGUC
rnacentral:rRNA from 1 species